CAGGCUGCCUAUUAGAAGACAGAAACUCCAUACGCGUCAUACACCUGCACCCGGGAGGAAAGGCGAGGCUCUGCAUCUAGAUUUACCUCGUUCUCUUUUGUCUCCGCUUUUUUUUCACAUUUCCUUGCGACCCUGGCCCUUGAGCGACAAAAAGGGGAAGCCAAGGCUGGCCCGAGGAACGGAGAGGGCACAUGGCCUAGCCACAAGUGGAGCUUCUGCUCCGCCCGAAGGGAUGCGCUGGAGCGGCCUCUUCCUUCUGCCACGGUCUUUCUUUGCCAACUAGUAGGUGAGGGCCGAAAGGCCGCGGGCCGUGGAGCUCGGGCCGGGGAGACUCUUUUCUAGCCUCUUGGGUCCCGCUCCUCCCAAUUCCCUGGAGAGGCGUCGAGCUUGCUGGGAAGUGCCCUCGGGUAAGGGGCGCGGAGCCUCCUGCGGCGAUCCUCUGUCUUCGGGUCGCCUUAGCAGGACGCGGCAAGCGGGACACUGACCUGGCCGGAGUCCCGCGUUCUCUCACCAGCUGCUUUGUCCACGAGUUGCUGCUGGGCGUCAGGGGUCCCACGGCCCGGAGGGAUCUAGAGCAGGGGGGCUCGGGGUCCUUUCCAUACCCUCGGAUCCUCUCCCACUCUCUCCACGCCUCGACCCGGAGAUGAUUUCAGGCUCCAGAUCUCUUUCAUAAAUGGAAAGAGUUUUUUUGGUUUGUUUUGUCUUAAUUAUGUAGGUGUUGCAUGCUUGGAAGAGAAAAUUUAGAAAAUUAAUUGGAAAACCAUAAAGAUAGCUUUCUCGUGAUAGCCACAAGGCUUGCUCCCUCAUUCUGCUCAUAUGUCACCCCCUCAAGGAGGCCUUCCCCAGCUCUGUAAACAACCUGUGCUCGGCGUUAACUUUUCUCCCUAAUGUUUAUCACUACCUGACAUAUACGUGUUUCCCACGACUCAACGAUAAGUGUUCAUGAGGGCAGACACUUUUUAAUGCCCUAUGACAAGCACCUAGAAUUGUGCCUGGCACAUGGUAGAUGCUUAGUAAAUAUUUGUUUAAUGAAUGAAGGUAAAAAACAUUUCUAAUACGACCAUCCAGGAAUAAGUACUAUUCAUGUUUUAGUGUGUUCUUACAGUUUUACUGUUCAGACAGUUAUAUGCCUGUGAAUAUAUAUUAUAUAUGUGUGUAUAUAUAUAUAUAUAUAUAUAUAUAUAUUUUUUUUUUUUUUUUGAGACAGAGUCUCGCUCUGUCACCCAGGCUGGACUGCAGUGGCGCGAUCUUGGCUCACUGCAACCUCCGCCUCCUGGAUUCAAGCGAUUCUUCUGCCUCAGCCUCCCGAGUAGCUAGGAUUACAGGCAUGUGUCACCACGCCCGGCUAAUUUUGUAUUUUUAGUAGAGACGGGGUUUCUCCGUGUUGGUCAGGCUGGUCUCGAACUCCUGACCUCAGGUGAUCUGCCCGCCUCGGCCUCCCAAAGUGCUGAGAUUACAGACGUGAGCCACCGUGCCUGGCGGAAUUUUCAUAUUUUAAGUCCCCCACCCUUGGACAUUUAGAUUUUUUCCAUCUUUCUGUAUUUGCAGAUAUGCUUCUACGUACACCUUUAUUCAUUUGCUUGAACAUUUCCCUGAGAAAAACUAGAAAUGGAAUUGCCAGAUUACUUUGUGUACAUGUUUCCAAACUGUCCUCCAGAAAGAAUGUAAUGCUUUGAACUUCCACUUGAGAAUCAAAUGUUUACCUUCCUCUGUUCCUCCAGAUUUGGACAUUUACAGUGUUCAGCCGUUGUUGUGGCAUUCCAAUUCAAUUGGGAAACAGCUUGAUGUAGCGUCCCCAUAAGGUCCACAGUAAUUAAAUUUUUUUUUUUUUUUUUUGGUGCGGUAGUGCAAUUUCAUGGCUCACUGCAACCUCCACCUCCCAGGUUCAAGCGAUCCUCCCAUCUCAGCCUCCCUAGUAGCUGGGAUUACAGGUGCACGCCACCACACCAGGCUAAUUUUUGUAUUUUUAGUAGAGAUGGGGUUUCACCAGGUUAGCCAGGCUGGUCUUGAACUCCAGACCUCAAGGGAUCCGCCUGCCUCAGCUUUCCAAAGUGCUGGGAUUACAGGUGGAGACUGGACCUCAGAAGAGGGAGUGGGUGCCCCGAGAACUCACAGCUAGCGGACAGUGGAAAGGGCAGGAGCCGGACCAAGGUGAGGACAGUGGAACUGAAGGCCGCUGGUUACCUCUCCUGCCCUCCGCUGGCCACAGUGGAGAAGACAGCCCCUCCCUCCUGCUCUGACCUGACAGUGUUCAUCCAUCGCCCUGUAUUAGCGAAGAACAACAUCAAGCUGGCUAGCAAGGAACUGUAUACAGGGUCCAGCUGGGUAUCACACUGGAUCUCACCCAAAGCUUAGAUGUGAUCCAGCUCAGUAUCACAAAGCAGAACGAAAAGGAUGUGUUUGGGCUGAGAGGCCAUACAUUGGCUCCGGCAUGACGGGUGACUUCUUCCGAGUCUGGCUUCUGCAGCACACAGGGCUUCGCCAGCACCCAGCUCCUGCAGCAUGGGCAGCUCCUGUGACAGCAGGCGCCCGCAGCCUGCAAAGCGUCUCCAGUGCCGCCGCCUCAGUGAACCUCAACCAGCGGCACCUAGCAGCUUUCUCUGCCACCCUCUUCAGGUAGUUCUGUAGCAGCGCGUUUCUCAUGAGACACUUCCCUGUGAGCAGCUUUUUCUACCCUUGAGGAUGGAUUUCCAGCAAAUUCUGCCCAUGUGGUACCACAGCCACUUCUCUGCCAUUCAGUGAAACUGCCGUUGUGCCCUCUUCAAGGUCUGGAUCUAAGCCCAGGGACCAGGAAACCUCUUGCUUGAGUGCUGGAACUCAGGCCAGAAGGUAUGGCUGCUGCUAUGUGCUGUGACCAGAGAAUCAGAGUUCUCUUUACUUCUUACCAGCCAACCUCUUGAAAAUGCCUUUUUGUUUUUUGUUUUUUUUUGAGACGGAGUCUCGCUCUGUUGCCCAGGCAGUGCAGUGGCUCACUGCAACCUCCGCCUCCUGAGUUCAAGUGAUUCUCCUGCCUCAGCCUCACAAGUAGGUGGGAUUACAGGCAUGUGCCACCACGCCCAGCUAAUUUUGUAUUUUUAGUAGUGACGGGGUUUCUCCAUGUUGGUCAGGUUGGUCUCAAACUCUCGACCUCAGGUGAUCCACCUGUCUCAGCCUCCCAAAGUGCUGGGAUUACAGACGUUAGCCAGAGCGCCCAGUCUAAGCCCUUUAUAGCUUAAUUCUAUAUAUUAAAUUUUCCCAGUUCAAAUUACUGUGUGCUUCCCUUCUCCUGAUUGGACCUUGCUUGAUACAAAAUUAGUACAAGGAGUGGUCUCAAGAGAUAGAUGCACAAAGAAGGGAUAUGGGGACGGAUUUGGGUAUUUGGGCUUGAGUGCAGACUGAGCUCCUUGACAAUGAGAAAUAGGAUAUGUAUUAGGGUUCUCCAGAAACAGAAUAACAGAAUCUAUAUAUACAUGUGUAUGUGUGUGUAUAUAUAUAUAUAUAGAGAGAGAGAGAGAGAGCUUUUAUGUGUGUGUAUAUGUAUAUAUAUAAACACACACACACUAAGGUAUUGCCUCACAUGAUUAUGGCAGUCGAGAAGCCCCACAAUCUGCUAUCUGCAAGCUGGAGACCCAAGGUCAGUGGUGCAGCAUUUUUUUUUCAGAUGGGGUCUCCCUCUGUUGCCCAGGCUGGACU
rnacentral:lncRNA from 10 species